rnacentral:lncRNA from 1 species
UGGUAGGAGGUGAAUUAAUCAUGAGACAAAUUUCUCACUAAUACCACAAGCUUAUUUGAGCCACGACUCGCCUUGCUUUACAAGAGUUUUUUUUUUCUUCUUCUUUUAUUUGCCCAAGUCUAGAUCCAAAAACCCUCAAUCGAAGAGAUUUAAGCUAUCAAUUAUGGAUUGGACAUGAGUUUAAAUUUUUGCUCUUAAUUAUCAAUUCAGAAUGGA